UACGUAGGGUGCAAGCGUUAAUCGGAAUUACUGGGCGUAAAGCGUGCGCAGGCGGCUCCUUAAGUCAGAUGUGAAAUCCCCGGGCUUAACCUGGGAACUGCGUUUGAAACUACAAGGCUAGAGUGUGACAGAGGGGGGUGGAAUUCCACGUGUAGCAGUGAAAUGCGUAGAGAUGUGGAGGAACACCGAUGGCGAAGGCAGCCCCCUGGGUUAACACUGACGCUCAGGCACGAAAGCGUGGGGAGCAAACAGG
rnacentral:rRNA from 1 species